CUCUCUCUCUCUCUCUCUCUCUCUCUCUCUCUCUCUCUCUCUCUCUCUCUCUCUCUCUCUCUCUCUCUCUCUCUCUCUUUCUCCGUAUAAGCGUUUUGCUGUCAGACUCUAGGGAAGCGCAGGGAAGUCUUGCAUCUCAGACACAUUCACACUCGGCCAUCAGGGCUGCACCUCCAACAUCUUUACUCUCCCCUCCAUCUCUCCCUCUGUAAUCCUGCCUCUGCUUUAGUGUGCCGUCUCUUCAUUCUUGCUCUUCCCUCUCGUCUUUUCCCAUCUCUUUCAGUCACUUUUCCAAAGUGUCAGAAUAUGGGCUGUGGAAAUUCAACAGCUACCACCGCUGCAGGUCCGGCUGAAUCGGUCAAAGAUAUACAAGAUGAUUCAUCUGGAGAAGAUGAGAAGAGGCAAAACUAUGGUGGAGUUUAUGUCGGCAUACCUGCAGACCUCAGUAAUGUGGCUCCCGGCCAGAUACCUUCUACACACAAAGAAUAAUGAGAUUCAGAACGGAACGUACAGAUCAAGAACACAAAGAAGAUAUUUUGAAGAAUGUUGGAAGCCGAACAGCGCCUGUACCGAUUCACUUCUAUUGUAUGGACACAAAACCAAUGCAAGUGAAUGGGUGCCAGUUAACAACAUUUUUCACAAUAUCGUCAUUUAUGUUCUGCAGAAGAAAGUCAAACAGGUUUGAAAUGACAUGAAGGGCUGUCCGAAGGGAAUCUAGGCUGAAAAAGUGCUGCGUUAUAUUCUCAACAGGAUAGAAUCUUCAUUGUUGAUUGGCUCACCGGGACAUGAUGGAGUCCUGCGAGAGCCAAUCGUGUCAUUUAACUCCCUGGAGACUCGACUGGAAUUAGUUCUGCUAACAAGAUCAAAGGUCAGAGAAAUAGCUGCAUUUCUUAGCGACACUUUCAGAGCGUUCUUUUUGAGCAAUUGCUACCAGCACCUGGUUUCUCAGGACAGCGAUGCACAAGUGUAACGACAAUCAUGGAGCCACGACUAAACCCAGACACUGGAGGACGGGAUAUUUCGUGAUCUUAAAUUGAAAGGCUCCACAGUCUUGAUCUGUCAUAACGUUAUGUGUUGGUUGUUACGGGGCAAGGCUAUUUUUAAGGAGAUAAGGACACUUUAUCAUGUAUUUUUCAUGUUUCUUUCGUUGACCAAUUUUUUUUAGAGUAAAACGAUCUCCUCUGAAGCACUCUUCUAUAAUCUUAUUAAAGUGUAUGUCUUUAUAAGAGUCCAUCUAUAGAGAGUCUUACGUCAACAGACGCGCAGACAGUACCACUAAAGCUGAAAUAAUGGUCUGUUAUGUCAUAGAUUGCUUGUUCAAAUGUGAAAACAGGGGUUAUGUGGUUAAAAAUGAAUUACAGUUGUAUUCUUAAACUUUUUUCCAAUUACUGUAGAAUGCUCCAGGGAGAGAUGGUACAGUUUUUAAAAUAAACACAUCUGUGCUAGCAGCACAUGACCUUAGCAGGACUCCAAGUACUGUGUAUGUAGGUCAGCACUUUUCAGCAUCAGGUAUAAUUGAAUACACAAUCUUGAGAUCAAAGAAGGAUGAUGGGGAGUUUGGCAAUAAGUGUGACGAAGAGAAAAAGAGAAGCGAGUCACGUCCCAGCGGGUGACCGGUUCAUGUGGGAUGGGAGAGAUGUCUGUAUCUCUGGGAUGAUAUCUGGGAUGUUUAUUUCUAACUUUUUUCACUUUGUAUAUGGAAUCAUAACAGUAGUAGCUUAAAACAAGUCCCUGGUCUUAUUGUGAUUGAUUUACCAGUGCAUUGUGUUCCUGUAGAUGGGGAGAGCAUCGUGAUGGGUUUUAUUCCCAGGGAACACACACAUAUUGAUAAAAUGUAAUGCGUGAAUGCACCUUAAAUCGCUUUGGGUUAAAGCGUUUGCCAAAUGCGUAAAUGACUUUAAAUGUAAAUGCAUAUUAUUCAGAAUUGAUUACAGUCUAACACUGGGUUGUAUUUGAUUAGUUUGUUUAUAAAAAGUUAUGACUUGUAUGUGAGAGAGUACAUUAUUAUUACAAUGCUACAUAAAAUCUAGGACAAUAUAAGAUAAGGAAGGAAUUUCAGGUUUGGCAUCGAGGAAUGUGUGCUUGAGCCUUACCAAUGGGGAUUUGGUGGUUUAAAUACAAAAAAGGUUUGAAAACAUGUACUGUAGCAUUCCAAUAACACUUUAUGAAUUAAGAAGCCAAUUCAAAAGUCAUAUUUCAAUUCCUACAGACAUUUAGAAAAAGGACCAAGCCUCUGCUUCUACAAUCUCAAAAUGAACGGACCAAAUUGUGUCUUUGAAAAUUUACUCAAACUCCAGAGAAAGGACCGAGCUUAAUUAACGGUGCUAUGAACAUUGAUCUGUUACUUUAGAAAACAGUGUUCCUUAAGAGAGCUGAUAAGUUUCACUCACCAAAUGAGGCUUUUUAAGACGAAGUCCAAAUGAUUCAAAGAAUACUUAUGUAUUCUGAAAUUAAGAAGCAAAUUCAAAAGUCAUAUUUCUUGUAAAUCGCUCCUUUUAAAGUAAUUGACACACAGCAUGGGUGUCUGUAGAUUAAAAUAUGACAUUGUUAUUUAAUUGUACACACUUUUAAUUUACUUUCAACGUGAUGAUGAGGAAAUUACAACUAAAAUGUCAGAUCGGCACCUCUUAAAUGUGUGUGACUGAAGCCAGUUAUUUCUGUCAUCUAUUCAGUAUAGUUUGUGUCUAGCUCUGGAAAACAGUCUGUGAAAGUAGCAACAUCUAUAUUUACAAAAAAAAACAGAUGAAAUUCAGUCAAAUGUUCAUAUAUUGUUCUUUCAAUAAAACAUAUUUUUUAAUU